GACGUAGGAUGCGAGCGUUAUUCGGAUUUAUUGGGCGUAAAGCGUGCGUAGGCGGCUGUUUAAGUCUGGUGUUAAAGCUAGGGCUCAACCCCUGUGGUGCAUCGGAUACUGGGCAGCUUGAGUGCGGUAGGGAAGGUGGAAUUCCGGGUGUAGCGGUGGAAUGCGUAGAGAUCCGGAAGAACACCGGUGGCGAAGGCGGUCUGCUGGCAGUAGCUGACACUGAGGCACGAAAGCGUGGGGAUCAAACAGG
rnacentral:rRNA from 1 species